GACGAACGCUGGCGGCGUGCUUAACACAUGCAAGUCGAACGGAAAGGCCCUGCUUUUGUGGGGUGCUCGAGUGGCGAACGGGUGAGUAACCCGUGAGUAACCUGCCCUUGCCUUUGGGAUAACUUAAGGAAACUGGGGCUAAUCCCGGCUAGGAGUUCCUGCUGCUUGGUGGGGGUUGGAAAGUUUCGGCGGUUGGGGAUGGACUCGCGGCGUAUCAGCUUGUUGGUGGGGUAGUGGCUUACCAAGGCUUUGCCGGGUAGCCGGCCUGAGAGGGUGACCGGCCACAUUGGGACUGAGAUACGGCCCAGACUCCUACGGGAGGCAGCAGUGGGGAAUAUUGCACAAUGGGCGGAAGCCUGAUGCAGCAACGCCGCGUGCGGGAUGACGGCCUUCGGGUUGUAAACCGCUUUCGCCUGUGACGAAGCGUGAGUGACGGUAAUGGGUAAAGAAGCACCGGCUAACUACGUG
rnacentral:rRNA from 1 species